AAGCGUUGUCCGGAUUUAUUGGGCGUAAAGAGCGUGUAGGCGGCCAUACAGGUCAGCUGUGAAAACUCGAGGCUCAACCUCGAGACGUCGGUUGAAACCGUAUGGCUAGAGUCCGGAAGAGGAGAGUGGAAUUCCCGAUGUAGCGGUGAAAUGCGCAGAUAUCGGGAAGAACACCUAUGGCGAAGGCAGCUCUCUGGGACGGUACUGACGCUGAGACGCGCAAGCGUGGGGAGCAAAUAGG
rnacentral:rRNA from 1 species